GUCCUCACUUCAGCAGUACAUAUACUAAAAUUGUAAUGAUGCAGAGAAGAUUAGCAUGGCCCUGCACAAGGAUGAUAUGCAAAUUCAUGAAGCAUUAUAAAAUAAU
rnacentral:snRNA from 1 species